rnacentral:rRNA from 1 species
AAUGCGGGACUCUAAGAGGCCCCGUAAUUGGAAUGAGUACACCUUAAAUCGUUUAACGAGUUCAAUUGGAGGGCAAGUCUGGUGCCAGCAGCCGCGGUAAUUCCAGCUCCAAUAGCGUAUAUUAAAGUUGCUGCAGUUAAAAAGCUCGUAGUUGGAUCUGGGGCUUGAGGUCGCUGUCUAUCGUUUCGGCGAUGACGGUGAUGCUCAGCUCUGCUUGCCGGUGACUGUUGCGGUGUUCUUCACUGAGCGCUGUAGCAGCACGGCACGUUUACUUUGAAAAAAUUAGAGUGCUCAAAGCGUGCUUGUCGCUUGAAUAAUGUUGCAUGGAAUAAUGGAAUAGGACCUCGGUUUUAUUUUGUUGGUUUUCGGAGCUUGAGGUAAUGAUUAAGAGGGACGAACGGGGGCAUUCGUAUUGCGGUGUUAGAGGUGAAAUUCUUGGAUCGCCGCAAGACGGACUACUGCGAAAGCAUUUGCCAAGAACGCUUUCAUUAAUUAAGAACGAAAGUCAGAGGUUCGAAGACGAUCAGACACCGUCCUAGUUCUGACCAUAAACGAUGCCGACCAGCGAUCCGUAGUGGUUGCUUUAUGGACCCUACGGGCAGCCUCCGGGAAACCAAAGUAUUUGGGUUCCGGGGGAAGUAUGGUUGCAAAGCUGAAACUUAAAGGAAUUGACGGAAGGGCACACCAGGAGUGGAGCCUGCGGCUUAAUUUGACCCAACACGGGAAAACUCACCCGGUCCGGACACCGUAAGGAUUGACAGACUGAUAGCUCUUUCUUGGUUCGGUGGAUGGUGGUGCAUGGCCGUUCUUAGUUGGUGGAGUGAUUUGUCUGGUUAAUUCCGAUAACGAACGAGACUCUAGCCUGCUAAGUAGUGUUGCUAUUGUUAUAUGGUUGACACUUCUUAGAGGGACAAGCGGCAUUUAGCCACGCGAAAUUGAGCAAUAACAGGUCUGUGAUGCCCUUAGAUGUCCGGGGCCGCACGCGCGCUACACUGGAGAAGUCAGCGUGUGUUAUCCAAGUCCGAAAGGACUGGGUAAUCCGUUGAACCUUCUUCGUGCUUGGGACUGUGGCUUGGAACUAUUCCACAUGAACGAGGAAUUCCUAGUAAUUGCAAGUCAUAAGCUUGCGUUGAUUACGUCCCUGCCCUUUGUACACACCGCCCGUCGCUACUACCGAUUGAAUGGUUUAGCAAGGUCCUCGGAUCGUGGCCGUAGGGGCACGCAAGUGUUUCUGCGGUUUGCGAGAAGACGACCAAACUUGAUCAUUUAGA